AUUGAACGCUGGCGGCAUGCUUUACACAUGCAAGUCGAACGGUAACAGGCCGCAAGGUGCUGACGAGUGGCGAACGGGUGAGUAAUGCAUCGGAACGUGCCCAGUCGUGGGGGAUAACUGCUCGAAAGAGCAGCUAAUACCGCAUACGAUCUAUGGAUGAAAGCGGGGGACCGUAAGGCCUCGCGCAAUUGGAGCGGCCGAUGUCAGAUUAGGUAGUUGGUGGGGUAAAGGCUCACCAAGCCAACGAUCUGUAGCUGGUCUGAGAGGACGACCAGCCACACUGGGACUGAGACACGGCCCAGACUCCUACGGGAGGCAGCAGUGGGGAAUUUUGGACAAUGGGGGCAACCCUGAUCCAGCAAUGCCGCGUGCAGGAAGAAGGCCUUCGGGUUGUAAACUGCUUUUGUACGGAGCGAAAAGGCUCUCUCUAAUACAGGGGGCUCAUGACGGUACCGUAAGAAUAAGCACCGGCUAACUACGUGCCAGCAGCCGCGGUAAUAC
rnacentral:rRNA from 1 species